rnacentral:tRNA from 1 species
GCUGAUAUGGCCGAGUCGUUAAGGCGAGUGAUUUGAACUUCUCAAUAUCACUUGGGAUUUUCCCGCGUAGGUUCAAAUCCUGCUGUCAGCG